GCUAAACGCGAAGAACCUUACCUGGUCUUGACAUGUCUGGAAUCCCGAAGAGAUUUGGGAGUGCCGCAAGGAACCAGAACACAGGUGCUGCAUGGCUGUUGUCAGCUCGUGUCGUGAGAUGUUGGGUUAAGUCCCGCAACGAGCGCAACCCUUGUCCUUAGUUGCCAUCAUUAAGUUGGGAACUCUAAGGAGACCGCCGGUGACAAACCGGAGGAAGGUGGGGAUGACGUCAAGUCAUCAUGGCCUUUAUGGCCAGGGCUACACACGUGCUACAAUGGCAGGUACAGAGGGAAGCCAACCAGCAAUGGGGAGCCAAUCCCAGAAAGCCUGUCUUAGUCCGGAUUGCAGUCUGCAACUCGACUGCAUGAAGUUGGAAUCGCUAGUAAUCGCAGAUCAGCAUUGCUGCGGUGAAUACGUU
rnacentral:rRNA from 1 species